CGCAUUAUACACCGCAGUGUUAGACCAUACGCAGGGGAGAUAUGUGUACCUAAUAAUGCGUGUGAUUUUAACUGUCUCGAAAGUGCUGUAGUUUCACCUACUUUUUUAUGGCUUAGCGAAAUAAGCACCACUGUUACUCGUUCGAAGUGUCUGAAGGCGCUUUCUACCAUAUAUUGUGUUUCCAUCUUAACUUACCGAUUCUCGGCGGUGCCUUAUAUGCAGCGACGUGAAGAGAGCAAACGGCGUUAACCUUGUGCAGUCUCGGGAACUCUCUGGUCGAGAACUGGCAGUCGGUCGCCCUGAAUCGCGGUGAUAUUCUCGACCGCUAGGCAGCCGCCGGACAGUUCGGGUUCGCCCAGUGGACCGGAUGGACGGAUGGAUGCUGGAUGGAUGCUAUAAGCGUCUCCCUUGGAACGGAGUGACCGUGCUGCUUCAGGGCCGCCACCUGGCGGUGCUUCCGUACGCGCCCUCCUUUCCCUCGUUCGACGAGAACGUGCCACGCGGCUCAUGAACCAAGGAGGCCUCGGCAACCACGCCUCUUCGAUGCUGAGCCAACUGUUCGUACACAGCUCAUCCAGACGGUGGUCGGCGACCACUUCACGAGGACCACGAAGCAGCAGUGCCCGCCGAGGCCCAGACCCGCGUCGAGGGCUCCAGCCGAGGCCCUGUGCCAAGACGCGACGGCUGAGGAACGCCGGGAACUAUGCGGAUAGCGCUCAAGGAGAAGACAUGUGGUAGACUGCAUACAAGGCGCAAACCGCCCCACUGACACGGGAUGACACUGCCUUGAUAAUAAAGGAACAAAUAAAGAGGGAAC